GUGCAAUCAAGAAUUGAUUUUUUAGACAUGUCAAAUUCUCAUUGGUGUGAUUGUCAAGUUUGGAUUCUUUGAUUGGUUUUAUUAAAUUUUUGGGUUUAUCAAAAAAAAAAAGAAAAACUUAUAGUGCUGUUGAAGGGUAAAAAAUGGAAAGAAAAAGUUAAAAUGAGAAAAGAGAUUAUUGUUGUGGUGGGACAAGUUGGCUCUUGUCUUGCUUGCUAAAUUUGGUUAAAAUCUAGGCCCACAUAUCCCACCUCUUGCCUUUUGUACAUCUCUAUUUCACACUUGAAUAGUUGUAAUUGCCUCCAUUUGGUAAAAUUACUUAUAUACCCUCCUCACAUCUUUGCUACUUUUACUUAAAUUAUCAAAUUUUAUAUUGAAAUAAAACAUUUUUAAAUUCAUAAACUAUAAAUAUG
rnacentral:misc_RNA from 1 species